UGGGGGAAUAUUGCGCAAUGGGCGAAAGCCUGACGCAGCGACGCCGCGUGAGGGAUGAAGGUCUUCGGAUCGUAAACCUCUGUCAGAAGGGAAAAUGUACAGUGCUCCAAUCAACAUUGUAUUGAUGGUACCUUCAGAGGAAGCACCGGCUAACUCCGUGCCAGCAGCCGCGGUAAUACGGAGGGUGCAAGCGUUAAUCGGAAUAACUGGGCGUAAAGGGCAUGCAGGCGGUUCAUCAAGUAGGAUGUGAAAUCCCCGGGCUCAACCUGGGAACAGCAUACUAAACUGGUGGACUAGAGUAUUGCAGGGGGAGACGGAAUUCCAGGUGUAGCGGUGGAAUGCGUAGAUAUCUGGAAGAACACCAAAGGCGAAGGCAGUCUCCUGGGCAAAUACU
rnacentral:rRNA from 1 species